GGAAACUCGGAUGGUGCUUCUACACCACAGGUCGGCCGGGCUUUCCCAGGAGCGCUGUGGAGUCACGUCCUAAGCGUUGAUGAAGCACCCGCAGGAGCCAGGCACCGCCUGGAGUUAGAGUUACAAACACCCGGAAGACUCGGUUCCUGAUGGCGAGGUGCUCCUUGUGUUGCUGGGGGAGGAGCGCUGGGAUGAGGAGACAGUCACAAGGCAUUUCUAACCUUAGGUGGAAGUUUGAAGAAAGGUGUGCCUGCUCAGAGGAAGGAGGACCUGACUGGAAGAGAAGAGAGGUCUUCAACCAGCUCCUGGCAGAUUCAGCUGGGUGUCCUGUAUUUCAUCUAACAACCAUAUCCUGGAGAGAACAAUGAAUCUGCCUGCUGCGGUAGAGGCUGAGGAUGGUGAAGAAGACAGCGGAAUGAUUAGGAAGGAUUUUGAAUGCCAAGUGGAGGAGUUUGAACUUCAUCUGAUAUCAGACGCAUGCUGGAGAGCUAGUGGGUUUUUGGCUAGGGAAUGACAGGGUCAGAUUCAUUUUGAGGUAAGACCACUUUGGUGGCCAUGUGGAGAGGAAGGGGCAUGGGGGGACCAGAGGCUCAGUCCAAAGCAGCUGGAGUGGAGCAAGAAAGGCAGGUGUAAUCAUUCUGGGGGCAGGAAUCGGUGAUGGGGCAGCUGGUCAUUAGGACCCACCUGUAAAGGGUUAAACAAAUUACUCAGAACCUUAGUUACACAUUUGAAUCAUGUAGGAGGUUUUUAAAAAAUACCAAGUCCCCACUCCCAUUGUUACUGAUGUAAAUGAUUCGAAAUGGAACCUGGACAAUGUUGGUUUUCUUUUAUUUCCCCAGGUAGUUUAAUGUAUAGUCACAAUCAAAAACUAUUAAUCAACGAUAUUCUCUUUUGUUCCCAGCAAUUUCCAGUUUUCUUUAACCAGUGCACCUGAGCAAGAGCACAUUAUCGUCACAAAGUAGCCUGCCACACUCUCAUUCACAGACACAUCAGCCACUUCUACCUGCUUUGCAGGUGAAAAACUGGCUAUUCCUGCCCAGGAACAUUAAGAGACUGUUUAUUUCAAUCAAUCAUUUUUCUAAAUACAUUAUCUCAUUCUAUAGCUGAAAAGUGGGAGGGGAGCAACAUCAAAGGAUUUACUUCAGCCCCAUCUAAGAAACCAAACACAUGCACCCCUUGUUCACCCUCCUCUGGUUGUCGCCCGUGGACCCAGAAGUCUCAGGCAUCUGACGCUCUGAAUGUCUGCCCAGAUGCCCAUCUCUGGAGAGAACAUGCUGAAAUGUUUGAGUUUGCACAGUUCAUUAAAUACCCUUCAGAAGAGCUCCCUGAUUCUCACAAAGGUCACCUUGGUUUCUUCUAGAGUCUGCAAGUGAGUACCACUGCCUAUUUUCAAUGCCUUGCAUUGUUUAGGGCCAUGGAAAUGGAUGUUCAUUAGAUCUUUCCAAGUAAAGUGGGUGGUCCAUUUCAAGGCAAAAAGCGAGGCCACAAGCCUAUUACUUGGUUUUACAUCAGCAGCCAACUAUCUGCCUUUGACAGAGAGGCGUUAUGGAUAUUUUUAUAUUUGUACUUCAGCUGCUUUUUUUUUUCACUUAGAAAAGAUUUGUCACAAGCUUCUUCAGCAGCAGAAGCUCUUGAAUUUCUAUUAAGUGCAAAUCAGUUCACAAACAACUUAUAGAAAUCAUAUAUACCAAUAUAGUCUAGCGUAUUUCCUGCUUACUAAAGGCGUGCUCUCGCUUUGACCCUUCAACAAGCGUGUCUCUCAGGUCAUGACCUGCCGUAUUUGCUCCUGCCGGAGAAGGAUUCGAACGUGGAGAUUGUAACUAGUCAAGGAAAACCAAGAGGCUGCCUCUUCAGCAUAGCAGGACACGGGUUUAUGAGAUGUUUUGAUGUUUAAUCAAGCCUGACAUCCUAUUUAAAUUGUAUGAGUUGUCUUCUGUCCCCUUCUUUUCUUUGUCAUUAGAAUUCCUUUCUUUGGAGACGUUUUCUGUGUGAUGUCUACACAGGAAGAAGCUGACAGCAGUAGCUUGAAGAACCCAGUGACAGUCGCGGGGAGAGCAUUUGGCAAAAAACUGAUCACAAGAACUCUGUUCUCUGAAUCUGAUUUCAGUGAAAACACAGAGAAUAACUUUAAAUAGUCCGAUCAAGUUGAUACAAAAAUGGUGUUUAGAAACUGUUUGGACUGAUGGGAAAGAUAAAAACUAUGUGUGAAAAGACCAGAACGAGAUGAUAGGAAAAGCACUGCAUUAAGAAUCAACACAUCUAUUCCCUGAUCUUAGUUUUAGGGCUUUCAAAAUUGAGAUGUAAUUGACAUAUAACAUUGUAUCAGUUUCAAGUGUACAACGUAAUGAUUCAUUGUUUGUAUAUAUUGCAAAAUCAUCACACAAUAAGUCUAGUUAAUGACCAUCACCACACGUAGUUACACAUUUCUUGUUGUUGUGAUGAGAACUUUUAAGAUCUGUUCUCUCAGCAACUUCCAAAUAUCCAACAUGGUAUUGUUAAGUAUAGUCACCAUGCUGUGCAUGACAUCCCAAGCACUUAUUUAUCUUGUAACUGGAAGUUUGUACCUUUUGACCCCCCUUCGCCCGUUUUGACCACCCCACACCCCUGCCUAUGGUAACCACCCAUCUGUUCUCUGCAUCUAUGAGUCUGGUUUUUUGUUUGGGUUUUUUUUUUGGUUUGGUUUGGUUAAGUUUCACAUGUGAGAUCAUACCGUAUUUGUCUUUCUCUGUCUGACAUAUUUCACUGAGCAUAAUGCCCUCAAGGCCCAAUGAAAAAUUCUUUUCUUCUCCCUCUGUUUUUCAGGAACCCUUAUAAAGUAAAAGAAGGGAAUUGGAAAUUAUUGUUUCCAAUAUUUCUUCCUGUUUGGGGAUUCUAAGUAUUUAUAGUUGACUGGAACUUGGAAAUGAGCAUAAUAAAAGGAAUAUGGGACUUCUGUUUGCAUUUAAGACAAAUUUUGGCAUCUGACAUUAAAACUAAUUGAUUCAUUUAUCCAACAGAAAGUUAUCGACCACCUACGUGUGUCAAGUCCUCUCUUUGGCAGCAGACCACAGCAGGGAAGGAAUGAGGCUCGGUCCCCGGGGGCGUUUGGAGACUGGUGAGGGACAAGCUUAGGAGCACAGAGGGCCACGAUGCCUGGGACCAGUGCUAUAGGGACAGCUCUAUGGCAUGGGGUUUGGAAUCGAAUGCUAUUUCCAGUGUAAUAAUUUUUGAAGCAGAAUCCUUUUUCAGCCAUGUUAAAAGAAAAAGUAAAACAGCUUCCAAAUCUUACAUCACAAUAUAAACAGUGUAGUGGGUUCCAAAAAAUGCAGGUCUUCUGUUGCUCCGGUGCAGAGAAGGCAUCUGUGCUUAGACAUCUGUUUAGAUAUCCACUUAGCAAGCAUUCUGUCAGCCUGUCGGGACCAGCACCACAGCUGAAACACAUGGAGCCCCAGACAUCAGCUGUAAGGGAACCAAAUGGUGCCCUCCCAAAAAUCGCCUUAGAAUUCAAAGUAUCUAAACAGUUUGGCAGGCACAGCCAAUAAUUUACAAGGAAAAUCUACAGCACGCAGACGUACAGAGCCCCUAAAUUCAGCAAGGGCCUAUUCUGAAUUUCAUCGGUACUGAAUUUGAAAUCUUCUCCGUAGAGCAAGACAAUGCAUAAUAAGUAAGCAAAACGUAACGUGUGUUAGGUGCUAGCCAAAUAAUGGUAGGUUACUUAAUUGUAAGAUGACAUCAAUUCAAAACACUCGACAAUACUGCAAAUCUUUGCUUGCUUGACAUUCUUCUAUUGUUGUGAGAAGUUCAAAAAUGGAGAUGCUUUUUUUUUUUAAAGAGGUUCAGAGU
rnacentral:lncRNA from 1 species